UACGUAGGGUCCGAGCGUUGUCCGGAAUUACUGGGCGUAAAGAGCUCGUAGGUGGUUUGUCGCGUUGUUCGUGAAAACUCACAGCUUAACUGUGGGCGUGCGGGCGAUACGGGCAGACUUGAGUACUGCAGGGGAGACUGGAAUUCCUGGUGUAGCGGUGGAAUGCGCAGAUAUCAGGAGGAACACCGGUGGCGAAGGCGGGUCUCUGGGCAGUAACUGACGCUGAGGCACGAAAGCUAGGGGAGCAAACAGG
rnacentral:rRNA from 1 species